GUGGUGGCUCAGUGGCAGAGCGCUCGCCUCGCUCGUGCGAGACCCUGGGUUCGAUCCUCAGCACCACA
rnacentral:tRNA from 1 species